AUCGUUGUAGUAUAGUGUGAGUAUUCCUGCCUAUUACUCAGGCGACUCGGGUUAGAUCCCCGAAAACGAUG
rnacentral:tRNA from 1 species